GCAAGUCGAACGAACUCUGGUAUUGAUUGGUGCUUGCAUCAUGAUUUACAUUUGAGUGAGUGGCGAACUGGUGAGUAACACGUGGGAAACCUGCCCAGAAGCGGGGGAUAACACCUGGAAACAGAUGCUAAUACCGCAUAACAACUUGGACCGCAUGGUCCGAGCUUGAAAGAUGGCUUCGGCUAUCACUUUUGGAUGGUCCCGCGGCGUAUUAGCUAGAUGGUGGGGUAACGGCUCACCAUGGCAAUGAUACGUAGCCGACCUGAGAGGGUAAUCGGCCACAUUGGGACUGAGACACGGCCCAAACUCCUACGGGAGGCAGCAGUAGGGAAUCUUCCACAAUGGACGAAAGUCUGAUGGAGCAACGCCGCGUGAGUGAAGAAGGGUUUCGGCUCGUAAAACUCUGUUGUUAAAGAAGAACAUAUCUGAGAGUAACUGUUCAGGUAUUGACGGUAUUUAACCAGAAAGCCACGGCUAACUACGUGCCAGCAGCCGCGGUAAUACGUAGGUGGCAAGCGUUGUCCGGAUUUAUUGGGCGUAAAGCGAGCGCAGGCGGUUUUUUAAGUCUGAUGUGAAAGCCUUCGGCUCAACCGAAGAAGUGCAUCGGAAACUGGGAAACUUGAGUGCAGAAGAGGACAGUGGAACUCCAUGUGUAGCGGUGAAAUGCGUAGAUAUAUGGAAGAACACCAGUGGCGAAGGCGGCUGUCUGGUCUGUAACUGACGCUGAGGCUCGAAAGUAUGGGUAGCAAACAGGAUUAGAUACCCUGGUAGUCCAUACCGUAAACGAUGAAUGCUAAGUGUUGGAGGGUUUCCGCCCUUCAGUGCUGCAGCUAACGCAUUAAGCAUUCCGCCUGGGGAGUACGGCCGCAAGGCUGAAACUCAAAGGAAUUGACGGGGGCCCGCACAAGCGGUGGAGCAUGUGGUUUAAUUCGAAGCUACGCGAAGAACCUUACCAGGUCUUGACAUACUAUGCAAAUCUAAGAGAUUAGACGUUCCCUUCGGGGACAUGGAUACAGGUGGUGCAUGGUUGUCGUCAGCUCGUGUCGUGAGAUGUUGGGUUAAGUCCCGCAACGAGCGCAACCCUUAUUAUCAGUUGCCAGCAUUAAGUUGGGCACUCUGGUGAGACUGCCGGUGACAAACCGGAGGAAGGUGGGGAUGACGUCAAAUCAUCAUGCCCCUUAUGACCUGGGCUACACACGUGCUACAAUGGAUGGUACAACGAGUUGCGAACUCGCGAGAGUAAGCUAAUCUCUUAAAGCCAUUCUCAGUUCGGAUUGUAGGCUGCAACUCGCCUACAUGAAGUCGGAAUCGCUAGUAAUCGCGGAUCAGCAUGCCGCGGUGAAUACGUUCCCGGGCCUUGUACACACCGCCCGUCACACCAUGAGAGUUUGUAACACCCAAAGUCGGUGG
rnacentral:rRNA from 2 species